rnacentral:rRNA from 1 species
CGGAGGUCUCGAGCGUUAGGCGGAAUCACUGGGCUUAAAGCGUGUGUAGGCGGAUGCCUAAGUACCUUGUGAAAUCCCACAGCUUAACUGUGGAACUGCUUGGUAUACUGGGUGUCUUGAGCCACUCAGGGGCGAGCGGAACAAAUGGUGGAGCGGUGAAAUGCGUAGAUAUCAUUUGGAACGCCAAUGGUGAAAACAGCUCGCUGGGGGUGUGCUGACGCUGAGACACGAAAGCCAGGGGAGCGAACGGGAUUAGAUACCCCGGUAGUCCUGGCCGUAAACGAUGUCGACUAGAUCGUAGUGGCUCUGACGCCAUUACGGUCGAAGCAAAAGUGCUAAGUCGACCGCCUGGGAAGUACGGUCGCAAGGCUA